rnacentral:rRNA from 1 species
GGCGCGCAAAUUACCCACUCCCGGCACGGGGAGGUAGUGACGAAAAAUAACGAUACGGGACUCAUCCGAGGCCCCGUAAUCGGAAUGAGAACAAUUUAAAUCCUUUAACGAGGAUCAAUUGGAGGGCAAGUCUAGUGCCAGCAGCCGCGGUAAUUCCAGCUCCAAUAGCGUAUAUUAAAGUUGUUGCGGUUAAAAAGCUCGUAGUCGAAUCUGUGUCCUGUACCG